rnacentral:rRNA from 1 species
CCCGCUGAACUUAAGCAUAUCAAUAAGCGGAGGAAAAGAAACUAACAAGGAUUCCCUCAGUAACGGCGAGUGAAGCGGGAAGAGCUCAAAUUUAAAAUCUGGCUUACUUGUAAGUCCGAGUUGUAGUCUGAAGAAACGUUUUCCAUAAGCACUGAGGCACAAGUCCCUUGGAACAGGGCAUCAUAGAGGGUGAGAAUCCCGUCCAUGGUCUCAAGUUGCUUAUUUUGUGAUACGUUUUCAAAGAGUCAGGUUGUUUGGGAAUGCAGCCUAAAAUGGGUGGUAAAUUUCAUCUAAAGCUAAAUAUUGGCGAGAGACCGAUAGCGAACAAGUACCGUGAGGGAAAGAUGAAAAGAACUUUGGAAAGAGAGUGAAACAGUACGUGAAAUUGUUGAAAGGGAAGCGCUUGCAACCAGACUUGAUCGUAGGCAUUCUGCUCGUCAUUUGACGAGUUCACUUGUUUACGGACAGGCCAACAUCGGUUUUUGACGGUUGGAUAAAGGUUUGAGGAAUGUGACACUCUUCGGGGUGUGUUAUAGCCUCUUACACAAUACAGCCAGUUAGGACCGAGGACCGCGUUCGCUUGGAUGUUGGCGUAAUGGUUGUCAGCGGCCCGUCUUGAAACACGG